rnacentral:rRNA from 1 species
GAUGAACGCUGGCGGCGUGCUUAACACAUGCAAGUCGAACGAAGCAUUUAGGACAGAUUACUUCGGUUUGCAGUUCUUUAUGACUGAGUGGCGGACGGGUGAGUAACGCGUGGGUAACCUGCCUUGUACUGGGGGAUUGCAGCUGGAAACGGCUGGUAAUACCGCAUAAGCGCACAAUGUUGCAUGACAUGGUGUGAUAAACUCUGGUGGUAUAAGAUGGACCCGCGUCUGAUUAGCUAGUUGGUGCGAUAACAGCCCACCAAGGCGACGAUCAGUAGCCGACAUGAGAGGGUGACAGGCCACAAUGGGACUGAGACACGGCCCAGACUGCUACGGGAGGCAGCAGUGGGGAAUAUUGCACAAUGGAGGAAAGUCUGAGGAAGCGACGCCGCGUGAGUGAAGAAGUAAUUCGUGAUGAAAAGGUCUAUCAGCAGGGAAGAUAGUGACGGUACCUGACUAAGAAGCUCCGGCUAAAUACGUG